rnacentral:rRNA from 1 species
GUGCACCAGUCGCGAAUUUUUCACAAUGGGGGAAACCCUGAUGGAGCGACGCCGCGUGGAGGAUGAAGGUAUUCGUAUCGUAAACUCCUGUCAAACGGGGACAAGAAAGUGAUAGUACCGUUAGAGGAAGAGACGGCUAACUCUGUGCCAGCAGCCGCGGUAAUACAGAGGUCUCAAGCGUUGUUCGGAUUCAUUGGGCGUAAAGGGUGCGCAGGCUGUGGGGUAAGUCGGAUGUGAAAUUUAGGGGCUCAACCCCUAAACUGCAUUCGAUACUGCUCCGCUAGAGGACUGUAGAGGAGAUUGGAAUUCACGGUGUAGCAGUGAAAUGCGUAGAUAUCGUGAGGAAGACCAGUGGCGAAGGCGAAUCUCUGGGCAGUUCCUGACGCUCAUGCACGAAGGCCAGGGGAGCAAACGGGAUUAGAUACCCCUGUAGU